rnacentral:rRNA from 1 species
UACAGAGGUGGCAAGCGUUGUUCGGAAUUACUGGGCGUAAAGGGCGCGUAGGCGGCCUUCUAAGUCGAACGUGAAAUCCCCGGGCUCAACCCGGGAACUGCGUCCGAGACUGGAAGGCUCGAAUCCGGGAGAGGGAUGCGGAAUUCCAGGUGUAGCGGUGAAAUGCGUAGAUAUCUGGAGGAAUACCGGUGGCGAAGGCGGCAUCCUGGACCGAGAUUGACGCUGAUGAGCGAAAGCUAGGGGAGCAAACGGG